rnacentral:rRNA from 1 species
GGGGAAUAUUGGACAAUGGGGGAAACCCUGAUCCAGCGACGCCGCGUGGGUGAAGAAGGCCUGCGGGUUGUAAAGCCCUUUCGGUAGGGACGAAAGCUCUCGACCUAACACGUCGGGAGGUUGACUUAACCUACAAAAGAAGCACCGGCUAACUCUGUGCCAGCAGCCGCGGUAAUACAGAGGGUGCGAGCGUUAAUCGGAAUUACUGGGCGUAAAGCGCACGUAGGCGGCUUGGUAUGUCGGGUGUGAAAUCCCCGGGCUCAACCUGGGAACUGCAUCCGAAACUGCCUUGCUCGAGUAUGGGAGAGGGAAGCGGAAUUUCCGGUGUAGCGGUGAAAUGCGUAGAUAUCGGAAGGAACAUCAGUGGCGAAGGCGGCUUCCUGGACCAAUACUGACGCUCAGGUACGAAAGCGUGGGGAGCAAAC